ensembl:lncRNA
AGCCAUUUCACUUCCCAGGUGUGUCUGUCUUAUCUAGCCAACCCCUCAGUAUGUUCCUGGGGGGCAGGGAUGACUCUACAUGUAUUGACUUUGCCAUUAUAUGCUUACUAUGUGAAGGGCCCUGUGCUAAGAGAUGCAGAGACAACAAAAAUUAAAUAGUCCUUGUUCUCAAGGAGUUUAUAGUCUACUGGAUGUGUGUGAUAUAUUGUUGUUAUUUAGUCAAUUUUCAGUCCUAUCCUACUCUUUGUGACUCCACUGGGUUGUUGUUGUUUUUUGGGCAAAGAUACUAGAAUGGUUCAUCAUUUCCUUCUCCAGCUCAUUUUACAGAUGAGGAAACUGAGGCAAACAGGGUGCGGUGACAUGUCCAGGAUCACAUAGUCAGGAAGUAUAUGAGGCCAGAUCUGGGCUCAGGAAUAUGAGUCUUCUUGACUCCAGGCCCAGGGCUCCAGCCACUUUGCCUCUUAGCUGUCCACAUACAGCAUAAGCACAGAUAAAUAAAUGCGGAGUAAUCUGAGAGAAGGGAGAACCCCAAGGACUAAAGGGGAUCCAGAUGAUCCUGAGUCAAGCCUUGCCAGGAACCUUAGACUUCUAGGCGGCAGAGCUGAGAGGCCUGGGGUAGAGCCUGCCCAAAGAGAGGAAGAUGGUGAUAACGCGUCAUUUGGAGGACAGCAAAUGGGCCGGCUCGGCUGGAACAUCAAUUAUUUGAAGGCAAAUACUGUAAAGUGCUAUUAUUAUCCCUCUUUCGGUUGAAGAAACUGAAGUGAAGUGACUUCUCAAGAAAGAUCUCAGGCUUGAACUCAAGUCUUUCUGGUUCCAUGCCCAAUGUUCUAUUCACUGCACCACCUGGAAGCCAAGGUGGAUACAUACAAAUUUCCAUCUGCAUUGAUGGAGGAAGUCUUCCCAUUAAAAAUCACAAGUCUCUCAAUGUCUUGAGGUAUGGUGAUAGUAACUGCUCUGGCCUCCAGUUUCACAUUGACCUUGGAAUUUUUGAAAUUACAUAGACUAAUUCUAUUGACUUGGCACAUUGUCAUGUAACAUGUAACAUGUAACAUGUAACAUGACAUAGGGCAUGUGGUACAUUUUGUACAUUAAAGUACUGCUUGUGCAAUGAAUGGUGAGAUGGGUAAGUAGCAGGUCCCUUUGGUCCACCUUGGCUAGUGCCCACUCCGUGGAGUCACAUAUUUCAGGGAGAAGUCCAGGAGACAGAUGUAGCACCCCCAGAGGUAUGCUUCAGCCAGUGCAGACCCGCAGGGCCUCCUGUUUUUUCCGGUUACACCUAUUAAAACUAAUAUUGAAAUAAUAUUAUUACCAAUCACUGAUUGAGAAGCAAUUUUCAACUGCCUGAACUAUAAUGAAACCAGCUUUUAGGUUAAGAGUGAAUGUGGUCAGAGCUGGGAGCUGAUUCAGUGACUAGGAAGGAAGAAGUUAAGUCACAGGUAAAGGGAGAGUGGGAGAAUGAUAGAGCAUUUAUUAAGUAAUUACUAUGUCCCAGGCACUGUAUUAAGCUCAAGUUACAAAUAGAAGCAAGCAAGACAGUCCUUUCCCCUAGGGAGCUUAAAUUCUAAGGGGGGGAGACAAUAGAAAAAAAGGAGUUAUAAGAUCAGAGAGCAAGGGCCCUGUGGAGAUGGCCAGUGAUGUGGAAGCCUGCACUGGUCAAGAUAAGAUGGAAGCUCACCUAUCAGAACUGGACACCCAGGGCUGGAGUUGUAUGUUUCAGUGGAGGGGGUAGGGGAUUGGGUGGGGGAAAUGAGGAUGAUGUUUAGAGUAUAGGGAGCAUGCUGUGGAGAUGGCCAGGAAGAAGAGAAGGAAGAAACAGAAUAGAAAGGAAAGAAUUGCUUUAAAGUCUUUAAAAAAUUAUCUUAUUUUAAUUGAUGUCUUUUGCUCUUAUAUCAACAUCAUUUCCAAAUCUGUCCAUUCCUCUCCUCUAACCAAGUAUAUGUCCCAAGGGGUGGCCGGAGGAAGCAAUUCAUCAGAAUCAACCAACAUCUCAAUGGAGCUACAUAUUAUACACAAUAUUCCACAGCCAUAACUCCUCCUAUCCCUGCAAAGAAGGGGUUGAGGCACAUUAUCUCAGCUCAUCUCUAGAGCCAUGCUUGGCCAUUAUUAUUACACGGUGCUGGGUUUCACUUGUUUUUGUUCUUUUCAUUUACAUUGUUAUAAUUAUUAUUUAUGUUAAUUUCUUGAUUUACUUUUCCUGCUUAAGUUUGUAUAAGUUUUCCCAUGAUUCUCUAAAUUUUUCCCAUUUCUUGUUUCUUAUAGUACACUCAUUCUAUUUUGUAACCCAGUUUGUUUAGCCAUUUGUUUAUUAAUGGGUACUUACUUUGUUUCCAGUUCCUUGAGAUUACAAAAAAGUGCUGUUUUUAAUAUUUUGGAAUAAACAGUGUGUAAUUGGAAAUGUUACCCUAAAA